CACCGCGGUUAUACGAGCAAGCUCGAGUUGACAGGUGUCGGCGUAAAGGGUGGUCAGGGAAAGAACAACUAAAGUCGAACACCUCCUCAACUGUAAUAUGCGCCCGGAGGCAUGAAGAUCUACUACGAAAGUGGCUUUACUUUACUUGAAUCCACGACAGCUAAGAAA
rnacentral:rRNA from 1 species